rnacentral:rRNA from 1 species
GUACCGUGAGGGAAAGGCGAAAAGAACCCCGGCGAGGGGAGUGAAAAAGAACCUGAAACCGUGUACGUACAAGCAGUGGGAGCCCCACCACUAAGCCAGUGGUGAACUCCACAUACGCAUCCUUUGCUGAGGAUACGGUUAACGGAGCGCAAGCGACGUUCAACCUCAAAAGAAGCAGAGGGGGCUUAGUGGUGGGGUGACUGCGUACCUUUUGUAUAAUGGGUCAGCGACUUAUAUUCUGUAGCAAGGUUAACCGUAUAGGGGAGCCGGAGGGAAACCGAGUCUUAAYYGGGCGUUAAGUUGCAGGGUAUAGACCCGAAACCCGGUGAUCUAGCCAUGGGCAGG